rnacentral:rRNA from 1 species
ACGUAGGAGGCAAGCGUUAUCCGGAGUUACUGGGCGUAAAGCGUGCGUAGGCGGAUCUGUAAGUGGGUGGUGAAAGCGCCCGGCUAAACCGGGCGAGGUCCAUUCAGACUGCAGGUCUAGAGGCGGAUAGAGGGGUGCGGAAUUCCGGGUGUAGCGGUGAAAUGUGUAGAGAUCCGGAGGAACACCAGUGGUGCAAACGGCGCCCUGGGUCCGAACUGACGCUGAAGCACGAAAGCGUGGGGAGCGAACGGGA